GAAAAAGCUCAAUCGCAACAGUAUUCUACUCCGACUCCGCACCUGUCACUCACGCUGCCUCCGUGACCUCGCUCCCUCUGCCCCUAUAUACUCCCGUCGCCGAUUGCUCGACAUCAUUGUUGUUUCUUCCUCCUUCCGCCAAUCGAUCGUCCCUCUAUAUCAUAAUAAUCGUCGAGGCGAGGCCCCCGCGCCGCCGCGCUGGGUCUGGGUGGGGACGUAUCGAAACGAUGGAGGACUUCGUGCUGAGCUACGUGGUGACCGGGCUGGCCUUCUGGUCGACGGCGUUCCUGGUGAUGCGGGCGCUGAUGCCGAAGCGGUCCUACGAGUUCUGCAACCGCGCCGUCUCCACCAUGCACGCCGUCGCCGCCGUCUGCAUGGCCUGCCUCUCCGUCCAGGAGUGGUCCUGCCCCGUCUGCCCCCUCAACGCCCCCUCCUCGCCGCGCCAGAUGAAGUCUCUGGCGGUGACGCUGUCGUACAUGAUCUACGACGCGGCGUGCUGCCACCUCAACGGCGACGUGCGGCUGGACAACACCGUGCACCACCUGGUCAGCAUCGUCGGCAUCGGCGCCGGCCUGGCCUACCAGAGGUGCGGCACGGAGAUGAUGGCGUGCAUGUUCAUCACGGAGAUCUCCAGCCCGCUGCUGCACCUCAGGGAGAUGCUCAAGGAGCUCGGCGUCAAGGACACGGACCUCAACCUCCUCGUCGAUAUUCUGUUUGCGGCGACCUUUUCGGUGGGACGGAUGGUUGGUGGACCGUACCUCACCUACGUAACCUUGACAACAGACUACCCCAUCCUCAUCAAGGUAUUUUGUAACCAGACGCGCAGAAGGACCAAACAAAUCUCCCGCCGUUCCGCUCCCUAACGAUCUCGAACCCAAAUCUCAACUUCACCUCUCUCUUUUUUUUUGGCACUUUUUUUUUGCCAAAAAAAAGUGUACCUAUUUCAAACGCCAGCUAUUCCCAACUUUUUCCGUAUGUAGUGCUUACUUUUCGAAAUGUGUAUUUCGACAAUGGGUGCAUAUGCACGUAGGAGCAAAAGGGAAUAUCCGUUACUAAGUUCCUUUUCUGUGAUGUUAUUUUCCAAUUCGCCAGGCGAUGGCUGCGGGUUUGCAACUGGUGAGCGCCUACUGGUUCUUGAGGAUCCUCAGGAUGGUCAGGUACAAGCUCGGGAAGAAGAGGCCGGCGGCGGCGGCGGCGACCAAGCUCAAUGCCAAGUGAUCCAUCCAUGUACAUACAUAUCUUGCUUGCAACCUUGAGCAAAUUACUUGCUUUCUGGCGGGAUGAGAUCGAUCGAUCGAUCAUUUGUAUGUACAAACCCACAGUGUGUGCCCGAUUUUGGCUAAGAAAAAAGGAUUAUUCAUGUAGCAUAUUAAUUGUUCCACAGGCAAGCAUCUUCCCAACAAAGGAUGCAUAUAUACAUACUGUAGCAAUUCAACUCUUGUGCAGAAACACUUUCCGAUCACUACCGCUUGCCUCCUAACUAUUUUUAGAGGAUUUUAGGCUUCUCUUCUUGCUGCUUAUACAGUUGUUAGAUUGGAUCAUUCUUGUUAUAAUUCGGUUUUGGUGUGUAAUUCCAAUGUGUAGAUUGUACCUGCAUUUUUUAUACAUGCAUGACGUGCCCUCUGUUGAUGCGCGUAG
rnacentral:rRNA from 1 species